rnacentral:rRNA from 1 species
GAAACGCUAGCUACAGGCUUAAACACAUGCAAAGUCGAAGGGGAAAACGGCAAUGAAUGCUUGCAUUUUAUUGGGACGUCGGACCGGCGCACGGGUGAGUAUCGCGUAUCCACCUGCCUAUUACUUGAGAAUACCCCGUUGAAAGGCGGUCUAAUACUCAAUACUUUCAUAAAUUGGCAUCAUGCUAUGAAAAAAGAUUUAUCGGUAAUAGAUGGGGGAUGCGUCUGAUUAGUUAGUUGGUGAGGUAACGGCUCACCCAAGGCAACGAUCAGUAGGGGUUCUGAGAGGAAGGUCCCCCACAUUGGAACUGAGACACGGUCCAAACUCCUACGGGAGGCAGCAGUGAGGAAUAUUGGUCAAUGGGCGUAAGCCUGAACCAGCCAAGUAGCGUGUAGGAAUACAGCCCUAUGGGUUUUAAACUACUUUUGUUAGGGAAUAAAGUGUGCCACGUGCUGGCAUAUUGCAUGUACCUAUCGAAUAAGGACCGGCUAAUUCCGUGCCAGCAGCCGCGGUAAU